GACUGCGUACCUUUUGUAUAAUGGGUCAGCGACUUAUAUUCUGUAGCAAGGUUAACCGAAUAGGGGAGCCGGAGGGAAACCGAGUCUUAAUUGGGCGUUAAGUUGCAGGGUAUAGACCCGAAACCCGGUGAUCUAGCCAUGGGCAGGUUGAAGGUUGGGUAACACUAACUGGAGGACCGAACCGACUAAUGUUGAAAAAUUAGCGGAUGACCUGUGGCUGGGGGUGAAAGGCCAAUCAAACCGGGAGAUAGCUGGUUCUCCCCGAAAGCUAUUUAGGUAGCGCCUCGUGAAUUCAUCUCCGGGGGUAGAGCACUGUUUCGGCUAGGGGGCCAUCCCGGCUUACCAACCCGAUGCAAACUGCGAAUACCGGAGAAUGUUAUCACGGGAGACACACGGCGGGUGCUAACGUCCGUCGUGAAGAGGGAAACAACCCAGACCGCCAGCUAAGGUCCCAAAGUCAUGGUUAAGUGGGAAACGAUGUGGGAAGGCCCAGACAGCCAGGAUGUUGGCUUAGAAGCAGCCAUCAUUUAAAGAAAGCGUAAUAGCUCACUGGUCGAGUCGGCCUGCGCGGAAGAUGUAACGGGGCUAAACCAUGCACCGAAGCUGCGGCAGCGAC
rnacentral:rRNA from 1 species